rnacentral:rRNA from 1 species
GACGUAGGGCGCGAGCGUUGUCCGGAUUUAUUGGGCGUAAAGAGCUCGUAGGCGGUUUGUCGCGUCUGCUGUGAAAACUGGAGGCUCAACCUCCAGCCUGCAGUGGGUACGGGCAGACUAGAGUGCGGUAGGGGAGAUUGGAAUUCCUGGUGUAGCGGUGGAAUGCGCAGAUAUCAGGAGGAACACCGAUGGCGAAGGCAGAUCUCUGGGCCGUAACUGACGCUGAGGAGCGAAAGCGUGGGGAGCGAACAGG